CACGUAGGGUGCGAGCGUUGUCCGGAAUUAUUGGGCGUAAAGAGCUCGUAGGCGGUGUGUCGCGUCGGCCGUGAAAACCUGCAGCUUAACUGUGGGCUUGCGGUCGAUACGGGCAUCACUGGAGUUCGGCAGGGGAGACUGGAAUUCCUGGUGUAGCGGUGAAAUGCGCAGAUAUCAGGAGGAACACCGGUGGCGAAGGCGGCAUCCUGGACCGGCAUUGACGCUGAGGAGCGAAAGCCAGGGGAGCAAACGGGG
rnacentral:rRNA from 1 species